CGGGUUCGUAGCGAUAGCCUCAUGUAGAGUAUUGUGAUUACAACAUUUGCAACAACUUGAUUUAUCGAAGAGUGUCUUGUCGUUUUCGUGAGCCGAAGACGUUAGAUGAGAAAAGUUUGUUUGUCGAAGAAUCAGUGCCAAAAAUACGCGAUAUAACACAAAGUGGGCAAAACGAUGGCAAAACAAUCGGCUUGACAAAACAGCGUGUGUGGAUGUCGCAUAUAUCUGAUGAACAUGAUUCGCAACAGAUCGAAGAUUUAACAGUACCCCUAGCAGAAAUGUCGGUGCCUAGCCUUGCUCAUUGGCUCAGCAAGUUUGCUUGCGAAGCGGCAAACGUUAUCCUCCUAAAAGUGUGUAUUUGAUUAUGUGCGGCUUAAAUCAUUAUUUAGCUGAUAUUAAAGGAGGGGAAGGAUUUAAUAGUUUGGAUAAACGUGACAGCAG